rnacentral:rRNA from 1 species
GACAAACGCUGGCGGAAUGUAUUAGGCAUGCAAGUCGCACGAACCUUCGGGUUAGUGGCGGACGGGUGAGUAACACGUGGGUAACCUGCCUCGUAGUGGGGGAAUAACUCGCCGAAAGGCGAGCUAAUACCGCAUAUAACUCCUGGUGAGAAUCCUGGAAGUAAAAGCUCCGGCGCUACGAGAGGGGCCCGCGGCCGAUUAGCUUGUUGGUGGGGUAAUGGCCUACCAAGGCGACGAUCGGUAGCUGGUCUGAGAGGAUGGUCAGCCACACGGGGGACUGAGAUACGGCCCCGACUCCUACGGGAGGCAGCAGCUAAGAAUCUUGCGCAAUGGGCGAAAGCCUGACGCAGCAAUUCCGCGUGGAGGACGAAGGCCCUCGGGUCGUAAACUCCUUUUGCGAGGGAAGAAGUUCUGACGGUACCUCGCGAAUAAGCCACGGCUAA